ACUGACUGCUAUCGGAUUGAUACUAAGCCAUGCGAGUCAUUGUAGCAAUACAAGGCAUACGGCUCAGUAACGCGUAGUCAACCUAACCUAUGGACGGGAAUAACCUCGGGAAACUGAGAAUAAUGCCCGAUAGAACAUUAUGCCUGGAAUGGUUUAUGUUCCAAAUGAUUUAUCGCCGUAGGAUGGGACUGCGGCCUAUCAGUUUGUUGGUGAGGUAAUGGCCCACCAAGACUAUUACAGGUACGGGCUCUGAGAGGAGUAGCCCGGAGAUGGGUACUGAGACACGGACCCAGGCCCUAUGGGGCGCAGCAGGCGAGAAAACUUUGCAAUGUGCGAAAGCACGACAAGGUUAAUCCGAGUGAUUUGUGCUAAACGAAUCUUUUGUUAGUCCUAGAAACACUAACGAAUAAGGGGUGGGCAAGUUCUGGUGUCAGCCGCCGCGGUAAAACCAGCACCUCAAGUGGUCAGGAUGAUUAUUGGGCCUAAAGCAUCCGUAGCCGGCUCUGUAAGUUUUCGGUUAAAUCCAUGCGCUCAACGUAUGGGCUGCCGAAAAUACUGCAGAGAUAGGGAGUGGGAGAGGUAGACGGUACUCGGUAGGAAGGGGUAAAAUCCUUUGAUCUAUCGAUGACCACCUGUGGCGAAGGCGGUCUACCAGAACACGUUCGACGGUGAGGGAUGAAAGCUGGGGGAGCAAACCGGAUUAGAUACCCGGGUAGUCCCAGCUGUAAACGAUGCAGACUCGAUGAUGCAUUGGCAUAUAGCCAGUGCAGUGUCGCAGGGAAGCCGUUAAGUCUGCCGCCUGGGAAGUACGUACGCAAGUAUGAAACUUAAAGGAAUUGGCGGGGGAGCACCACAAGGGGUGAAGCCUGCGGUUC
rnacentral:rRNA from 1 species